GACGAACGCUGGCGGCGUGCUUAACACAUGCAAGUCGAGCGGUAAGGCCCCUUCGGGGGUACACGAGCGGCGAACGGGUGAGUAACACGUGGGUGACCUGCCCUCAGCUCUGGGAUAAGCCUGGGAAACUGGGUCCAAUACCGGAUAUGACUCCAUGACGCAUGUCGUGGGGUGGAAAGCCUUGUGCGGCUGGGGAUGGGCCCCGCGGCCUAUCAGCUUGUUGGUGGGGUAACGGCCUACCAAGCGACGAUCCAUAGCUGGUCUGAGAGGACGAUCAGCCACACUGGGACUGAGACACGGCCCAGACUCCUACGGGAGGCAGCAGUGGGGAAUCUUGCGCAAAUGGGCGAAAGCCUGACGCAGCGACGCCGCGUGGGGGAAGAAGGCCUUAGGGUUGUAAACCUCUUUCAGCAGGGACGAAGCUACUCGGGUUAAUAGCCCCAGAGGGUGACGGUACCUGCAGAAGAAGCCCCGGCUAACUACGUGCCAGCAGCCGCCGCGGUAAC
rnacentral:rRNA from 1 species